ensembl:lncRNA
CCGCCCGGGAAGCGAGCCGGGCCCUGCCCUCAGGGAGCUCUCCCAGGAGCCGGGAGCAGAGAGCGACGCGCGAGCGUAGGUAGCCGCCAGCUCUCCCCGAACCGUCCGUGGGGGAGUUGGGGAACUGUGUUUUCAGACACAGUGGUUUUGUAUCGUGAUCUCGACAGUGAGUUCAUCUUUUGUCAGCGAGUUUCAACUUUAGAAUUCCAUGAGGUUAUAUUUUGAAUAUUCGCCAUGUUCUGGGGAAGAGAUUCCGUGACCAGAAUGAAAACUCGGAGAGGGCAGGCACUUGUCAUACCAGUACCCGCUGCGCCUAAAGGGUGCCUGGCACAGAAUGAAUGCCCGGUGAAUAGUUUUCAGAUCGCUGAAGUCUGUGAAAGAGCGUUUCUGUUGUUUUAGUCUCUAAGUCGUGUCUGACUCUUGCGACCCCGUGGACUGUAGCCCGCCAGGCUCCUCUGUCCAUGAGAUUUCCCAGGCAAGAACACUGGAGUGGGUUGCCAUUUCCUUCUCCAGGGCAUCUUCCCCACCCAGGGACUGAACACGCGACUCCUGCGUUGGCAGCCUGAGCCACCUGGGAAGCUCUUAAAAGGGCAUGCUGCCCCCAAAGUUGGCAGUUCCUGGAUCUUUCUGACCCAGGGGAUGGAACCCGAGUCUUCUGCAUCGGCAGGCGAGUUCUUUACCACUGAGCCACCUGGGAAGCCUUGGCCGCUGGACCUCCAGUGUGCGGGGACAGACUUGUCAACGUUUUCCUUUAUAUUCACCGGCUUCUUUGCUUCGUUUCCCGGGCCCUUGCCCCAUCCCACGACUAUGAAAGCGCAUCUUCACCUACAUUGUCUCCUGGUGAGUGCCCAAGACGAGGAUGAUGACAGCUCCCAUGGAAUUUACUUAAAGAGUUAUUCAGAGAGUAAAUAUUCCUUCUUGUCUGGCCUAGUGCAUCUGUAUUUGAAUAAUGUAUCAUCUGAGUCAACACGGCCUUCUGUGCUCUGCGCCGAGCCUCUGCCGCGUUGCAUAGCUCAAGAGCUUUCUCGCUGCAGCUGUUGCCAUGGAAACUGGAGCCAGGGCCGUGGCAGAGGCACGGGGCUGUGGAGAUGGAGAAAGACCUGCAGAAUCUGGAAUUUUUCAGCCUCUAAAGCAGUCCCUAGAAGGCGCAGAGUUUCCUGUGUGGCUCGAAUUUGUGGCUGUUGUAUCUCUGUUGCACAGAGCCCUUCAAGAGUACAUGCAAGUGAAUGAACGAAGGAGAGAUAACUGGUCAGAACUGGAAUCGCCGUGUCCUCUGUUCUGUCCCGCUUUCUUUCUCAAGCAAUUUAUCGCUUCAGUAGCUAAUGAGACGAUGGAAAUUCUGUGAUAAUCACUUCAUGAUGUCUGUGAGUCAAACCGUGACACUGUAUGCCUUACACCUACAUGCUGGAUGUCAGAGAUAUCUCCGUGAAACUGGAAGAAAAAAAAUAAGAGUCCUCCGUGGCGUAAGUGGGGACACGGCCUAGAGAGAAGACUCCUUUCGUUGUCCACAAAGACGUGGGUUUUGACAUCUGUGGAGGUGGAAUUCUGUCCAGUCACACGUAUGGUGUGGAACACAGGGGAAUUCAAGAGCGAGGUCUGGGCUGGGAUGGAGACGUGGGGGCUGAGCAGAGCCGGGGAGAGGAUGAUAUGGUGUGGGGAGAGGAGAGAGAGGGGGAAUAAAAUAAACAUUCAUUAAAAUGUUUUAAAUGAAAAAAAAAAAAACUUAUUAGUAAUCACCUCCUUUAACACGUGAAUUUUGGGGGAUGCAACUCCAUCUAUAACGGAAGGUCUGGGGUGGGGGCCUGAGAU